GGUCUCACUAUGUAGUUGAGACUGACCUAGAACUCACUAUGUAGCCCAGGCUGGACUUGAACUCACAGUGAUUCUUCUGCCUCAGCCUCCCGAGUGCUGGGAUUACAAGCAUGUGCUACCAUGCCCGGCCCAACACUAAUUUCAAUAAGUGGAAUAUUGGCAGCCUCUCCAGAAGUACUCCCAAGGAUCCGUCCCAGUCAUAGCACAGCCCUGCCUCCAGAAUACUUGAUCCUGAUGUGCACAGAAGAAGAAUAAGAAAGAGUGGGAGUGGAGAGAGAAAUGGAUACAAAAAUGAAAGAAAAACAAACAGAAGCAGAACUUUUGCAUAUGUAAAGGAGUUCAAGAAGUGGAAAGAGUAAGGAGGCAUGGGAGGGAUAGGGCACAAAAAAGGAAUUAAGAGGUGUUGUUUACAUGUGAUAACUCCCUAUAAUGAAUGUAAUCAUUACAUACUGCAAACAUAUACUAAUAAAAGUUAACCAAAAAUAAAAUGAAAUUCAGAAGCAGAUUAAAAAAGAAACACAAUGGGUCCAAUGAGAAAGGUCAAGAUGAAUCCUUUUUGCAAGAAACUGGCCCAGAGGUGUGCAUAUGAAUCAGUCCUGAUGGAGACACAAGGGGAUGUCUGCUAGGAGAUUUCUGGAAGACAUUCCUUUUUAAUUAAAAAAAUAAUUUUGAACCAAUAAGCAUAUACAGGGUCC
rnacentral:lncRNA from 1 species